GCGACACUAGCUCAGUUGGUAGAGCGCAACCUUGCCAAGGUUGAGGUCACGAGUUUGAACCUCGUGUGUCGCUCCA
rnacentral:tRNA from 1 species